rnacentral:rRNA from 1 species
UGAGUAAUACAUCGGAACGUGUCCUGUAGUGGGGGAUAGCCCGGCGAAAGCCGGAUUAAUACCGCAUACGCUCUACGGAGGAAAGGGGGGGAUCUUAGGACCUCCCGCUACAGGGGCGGCCGAUGGCAGAUUAGCUAGUUGGUGGGGUAAAGGCCUACCAAGGCGACGAUCUGUAGCUGGUCUGAGAGGACGACCAGCCACACUGGGACUGAGACACGGCCCAGACUCCUACGGGAGGCAGCAGUGGGGAAUUUUGGACAAUGGGGGCAACCCUGAUCCAGCAAUGCCGCGUGUGUGAAGAAGGCCUUCGGGUUGUAAAGCACUUUUGUCCGGAAAGAAAACGCCGUGGUUAAUACCCGUGGCGGAUGACGGUACCGGAAGAAUAAGCACCGGCUAACUACGUGCCAGCAGCCGCGGUAAU